GCAGCUGUGGCCGUAACUGGUUAGGGCUUCGGGCUUGGAACCGGAGGGUUGCCGGUUCGAUCCCAGUAGGAACAGCUGAA
rnacentral:tRNA from 1 species